CGGGGUGGGGGAAGGUGUGUGUUUCACCUUCGAACUGUCCUGGGGAGGGGCGUUUGAGAAUCUGGGAGUUCCCUUCGCACCUACUACAGCCCUGCUUACAUGAAGCCUUCGGAAAUACAGGAGAAAACCCCCAAAUUACACAGCCGUGGAAGAUGGAAGGCAGAAGCGAUUUCAGAGUUCUUGAGCAAACCUUUGCCUAGAGGAGUGAAACGGUGCUCCUGCCUGAUGUUCUGGAGUUGAGCAAGCCUGAUGCUUCCAUGGUGCGUAUGAAAGAGGGAACUUGGACUGGGGUGCU